rnacentral:rRNA from 1 species
UACGUAGGGUGCAAGCGUUGUCCGGAAUUAUUGGGCGUAAAGAGCUCGUAGGCGGUUUGUCGCGUCGAAUGUGAAAACCCGGGGCUCAGCCCCGGGCCUGCAUUCGAUACGGGCAGACUAGAGUUCGGUAGGGGAGUCUGGAAUUCCUGGUGUAGCGGUGAAAUGCGCAGAUAUCAGGAGGAACACCGGUGGCGAAGGCGGGACUCUGGGCCGAUACUGACGCUGAGGAGCGAAAGCGUGGGGAGCAAACAGG